rnacentral:lncRNA from 1 species
CACCCCUCUCUCUGCAGCACCUGCACUAGCCUUAGCAAGUUCUGCUCCAAACUCAGGCACCUCGACCUGGCUUCCUGUACGUCAAUAACAAACAUGUCUCUCAAAGCUCUGAGUGAGGGCUGUCCACUGUUGGAGCAGUUGAACAUCUCCUGGUGUGACCAAGUAACCAAGGAUGGCAUUCAAGCACUAGUGAGAGGCUGUGGGGGUCUCAAGGCCUUAUUCUUAAAA